rnacentral:rRNA from 1 species
CAUGUGCACGCUCUGUUCAUACAUCCACUCACACCUGUGCACCCACUGUAGCUCUAUGGUCUGGGAGCUUCUGUCUCCUCCCUUUAGAUCUGCGUCUUUACACGUACACCGUAGCAAAGUCUUAUGGAAUGUGUGCCGCGUUUAACGCAAUACAAUACAACUUUCAGCAACGGAUCUCUUGGCUCUCGCAUCGAUGAAGAACGCAGCGAAAUGCGAUAAGUAAUGUGAAUUGCAGAAUUCAGUGAAUCAUCGAAUCUUUGAACGCACCUUGCGCCCCUUGGUUAUUCCGAGGGGCAUGCCUGUUUGAGUAUCAUGAACACCUCAACUCUCACGGUUUGCCGUGAUGAGCUUGGAUUUUUGGGGGUUUUGCUGGCUUGUGGUCGGCUCCUCUAAAACAGAUCAGCUUGCCAGUGUUUGGUGGCGUCAUGGGUGUGAUAACUAUCUACGCUUGCGAUGGCCUGCCAAGUAACCUUCAGAGAAUGGAGGUUU